UUAUUCUCCCGUUGAAAAACUGCAUGCGAAGAAAACAUUACUGAUCGCAAUGUGUCGUCAUAGGAUCAUGUAAAAAUCGAAUCGGCGCGUGUAAUUGGAAAAGUUAAAGUCAAAGGCAUUGAUGGAACUUUGCUUCAGCUACAACACUUGAUCACUUUUAAAUUCAAACUUUAAUGGAAAAUAUAAAAACAAAAUUUGAUAAAAUCAUAAAAAAGUAAAAAAACAAAUAGUUGGUAGUUUGGUUAGUAUUGCGUUUAUGCUUCUUUUUUAUUAUAAAGAUUUUGUGUUGUUUUUUAUUUCAUAAUUAUUACUUAGACAUUUCUAUUAUUAACAAUCUAUAUGCAAACAUUACAUGUACUAAAUAUAACAUACUUG
rnacentral:sRNA from 1 species